AUCCAACUGACGAGUCUUAAAUAGGACGAAACGCAUAUCCUUGAU
rnacentral:hammerhead_ribozyme from 1 species